rnacentral:rRNA from 1 species
GAAAGCGUGGGGAUCGAACAGGAUUAGAUACCCUGGUAGUCCACGCCGUAAACGAUGAAUGCUAGUUGUUCGGGUCAAUUGAGACCUGAGUAACCAAGGGAAACCGAUAAGCAUUCCACCUGGGGAGUACGGUCGCAAGACUGAAACUCAAAGGAAUUGACGGGGGCCCGCACAAGCGGAGGAACAUGUGGUUUAAUUCGAUGAUACGCGAGGAACCUUACCCGGGCUUGAAAGUUAGUGACCGUUUUAGAGAUAGAAUUUCGCAGCAAUGCGCACGAAACUAGGUGCUGCAUGGUUGUCGUCAGCUCGUGCCGUGAGGUGUCGGCUUAAGUGCCACAACGAGCGCAACCCUUACCGUCGGUUGCCAGCGGGUAAUGCCGGGGACUUCGAUGGGACUGCCACCGUAAGGUGUGAGGAAGGUGGGGAUGACGUCAAAUCAGCACGGCCCUUACGUCCGGGGCGACACACGUGUUACAAUGGUCGGUACAGAGGGCUGCUACUAGGCGACUAGAUGCUA